CCUACGUGUGGCAGCAGUGGGGAAUAUUGGACAAUGGGCGAAAGCCUGAUCCAGCCAUGCCGCGUGUGUGAAGAAGGCCUUCGGGUUGUAAAGCACUUUCAGUGGGGAAGAAAGCCUUGGGGCUAAUACCCUCGAGGAAGGACAUCACCCACAGAAGAAGCACCGGCUAACUCCGUGCCAGCAGCCGCGGUAAUACGGAGGGUGCGAGCGUUAAUCGGAAUUACUGGGCGUAAAGCGCGCGUAGGCGGUCUGAUAAGCCGGUUGUGAAAGCCCCGGGCUCAACCUGGGAACGGCAUCCGGAACUGUCAGGCUAGAGUGCAGGAGAGGAAGGUAGAAUUCCCGGUGUAGCGGUGAAAUGCGUAGAGAUCGGGAGGAAUACCAGUGGCGAAGGCGGCCUUCUGGACUGGCACUGACGCUGAGGUGCGAAAGCGUGGGUAGCAAACAGGAUUAGAUACCCGAGUAGUC
rnacentral:rRNA from 1 species